AUUGGUGACUUUAACGAGAUUCUUAUCUCGUCUGAAAAGGAUGGGGGUGCCCCAAGGCAACAGUCACGCAUGCAAGCUUUUCAGGAUGCAUUGUCAGAUUGCUCUCUUGAGGAUAUGGGAUAUGUUGGUGACAAAUAUACCUGGUUCCGUGGUGGCCUUAGAGAGAGAUUGGACAGAGAUGUAACAUGUGCGAGGUGGAUGCUUAUUCAUCCAUUUGCUGGUCUGAGUAACCUUGAGAUGGGCAAGUCUGAUCAUAGACCGAUCUGCCUAGAUACUAAUUAUCUAGUAGGAGUUGCAGAGAAUAAACCUACUUAUGGGAGAAAAUUCGAAGCUCGUUGGUUGUCUGAGGAGACAGUAGAAGAGAUAGUAAAAACUGCAUGGCAAAAAGCUUCGCUGCUCGGUCUACCUACCCAGACGACCGUGAAGUUGGCUGCAGUACAUCAAGAGCUGCAUACUUGGGACAGACAUGUUUUGAAAGAACCCAGGGCCCGGCUUCGCAAGGCACAGCAUGAGCUAGAUGAUCUAAUGCGAAGCCCGCCGACUGUUGAAGUGCGGAUGAAGCAGAAAGAGCUUGCAUUAUUCAUUGAAAACCUACUUGAACAAGAUGAAAUUUAUUGGGCCCAAAGAGGUAAAGUUAGCUGGCUGAGACGUGGCGACCGAAUACAACAUAUUUCCAUCAAUUUGCAUCUACUAGGAGAAGGCGGAAUCUAA
rnacentral:rRNA from 1 species